UGGGGAAUCUUGCACAAUGGGGGCAACCCUGAUGCAGCGACGCCGCGUGAGCGAUGAAGCCCUUCGGGGUGUAAAGCUCUUUCGGCAGGGAAGAUAAUGACGGUACCUGCAGAAUCAGCUGCGGCUAACUACGUGCCAGCAGCCGCGGUAAUACGUAGGCAGCGAGCGUUGUUCGGAGUUACUGGGCGUAAAGGGUGUGUAGGCGGUGCUCUAAGUGUGGUGUGAAAUCUCCCGGCUCAACUGGGAGGGUGCGCUACGAACUGGAGUGCUCGAGUGCGGGAUGGGAGAGUGGAAUUCCUGGUGUAGCGGUGAAAUGCGUAGAUAUCAGGAGGAACACCGGUGGUGUAGACGGCUCUCUGGACCGCAACUGACGCUGAGACACGAAAGCGUGGGUAGCAAACAGGAUUAGAUACCCCCGUAGUCCCUGAGCGGGCUGGCAAGGCGCAU
rnacentral:rRNA from 1 species